AUUGCUUAUAAUCCACCAAAAUCAUGAGCCUUCUCAAAAACCUCCCUACUGUUUUGUCCAUCCUUUACUUUGCUGCAUCAACCGUUAAUGCAGCGACCUUCAAUAUCAUAAACAACUGCCCCUUCACUGUUUGGGCCGGCGCAGUGCCAGGCGGUGGCAGACAACUUGGCACCGGCCAAGCAUGGACGCUAAAUGUGCCAGCCGGAACUCAAGGAGCUCGCAUUUGGCCCCGAACAAAUUGCAACUUUGAUGGAGCCGGACGUGGAAGAUGCCAAACCGGUGACUGCGGCGGUCUCCUCCAGUGUCAAGGCUAUGGCCAGGCCCCAAACACCCUCGCCGAAUAUGCACUUAACCAAUUCAUGAACAGGGAUUUCUAUGAUAUCUCUCUGGUUGAUGGCUUCAAUGUCCCGAUGGACUUUAGUCCUACCUCUAACGGCUGCACUAGGGGUAUCAGAUGCUCCGCCGAUAUCAAUGGACAGUGCCCGGCGCAGUUGAGGGCUCCCGGUGGAUGUAACAAUCCGUGCACUGUGUUCAGAACCAAUGAGUAUUGCUGUAAUUCUGGUCCCUGUGGUCCUACAGACUACUCUAGGUUUUUCAAAAGUCGAUGCCCGGAUGCUUACAGUUACCCUAAAGAUGAUCAAACCAGCACUGUGGUUUUUAGUUGCCCAGGCGGGACUAACUAUAGGGUUGUGUUCUGCCCUUGAAGCAAUUAUGAGGUCAAGGAGGCAUAUGUAUACGUAUACGUAUAUUGAUAUGUUUUUGAUGAAUAAGUGUUAGAGAUCGAGCUUAUAGCUAGCUUUGCAUGUGAUCAGCACACGUAAUGAUGUGCGUUGUCGUGUAACACAAGGUUUUAAUAAUCAUCCAAGAAAACUAUGUUUUCUUACUCGAUCUGUUGGUACUAAUACAGAACCUAUGAUAGCCUAAUUGGUGGUUAUUGGAAAGGGAAGCUCACUGGCAUACCAGUCGAUCCUAUGGCAGUAGUUGAUAUGGUGAGUUUAUUAAGCUGUUUCCAUAAUAUUAACGUACCUUCUAUUGAUGAAAAAUAUUUAUUGAAAUUCAAACUCACUCUGUUGGUGUUAUAUAAUAAUCGUUGAAUUUGAAUCAUGUAUGCAGAUUCCAGUUGACAUGGUGGUAAAUUCGAUAAUUACAGCUAUGGUAGUUAACGCAAAUAAAUCUCGCAAAAACAUUUACCACUUGGGAACCUCAUAUAGGAAUCCCUUAACAUUCUCUGAUUUUAACAACUUUAUGUUCCAAUACUGCACCAAAAAUCCAUUGCUUAACGAGAAUGGAUUCCCCAUCAAGGUUGGAAAGUUGAAAAUAUUGAGGAGUAUGGAAGCUUUUCACUUGUAUAUGCAAAUACCAUUGCAGGUUUGUUUGUUUAAUUAAUUAGGUUGCGUUUUCCUUUCAGCCAUAACAUACACUAACUUAUUUGUAUUCUGGUUUGAUCUUUAUUGACUAGUUUCCUUUCAUUCUAUGAAGGCAUUAAAGUUCAUGAACAAGGAAUUUGACCAAUAUUUCCAAGACAUAUACGCUAACUAUAACAUGAAAAUCAAAUCAGUGAGACGAUUGGUUGAUCUCUACCGAGCAUAUUUGCUAUUCAAGGGCAUGUACGUAUGUUUUGUUUCGCUACUUUGAUGCUUAAACAUAGAUUGAUCAGUCUUAUUAUGCACAUCAAAGUUGUAUAUUUGCAUCAAAUAAGUGAUGUUCGUUCAAAUUUUCGCUUGUAGCUUUGAUGACACUAAUGCAGAGGAGUUGCGAAGGAUAGCAAGCGAGAAGUACACAGAUGCAGGAAGUUUUAAUUUUGAUCCGAAAUGCAUAUAUUGGGAAGACUACUUUAUGCAUACUCACAUUCCUGGCCUUGCAAAGCAUGUUAUCAUCAAUCAAACACAGACAAAGUCGGCUUUGAAUGAACAAAUUAUUACUUCUUGUGCAGAUAUUACAGGGAGGAAUGAGUACAAUAAUGGCUACUAAAGAGUUCGCAAGUGUUGUAUUUUACAAAAUUAAAGAUCUAGCGAUAAUAAUUAUUCCUAAAACAUGUUUUUUUAUGAUCUUGUAAGUGUAUUUUUACGUAUAUUAAUCAUCCUAGCUUCAAGAAAUAAGUUCAUCAAAACAAGUUCAAGAUAUACCUUUUCACAUAUAUGAUAGCUCUGCCUAACCUAAAAAUUCUCUCGACGUAUAAACUGGGUAGUGUAGGUUUUAGGAUCUAUAUGGUAGAAUCGCCAAUAAGCCAGUGGAAAUGAUAAACAUAUAUAAAAAAGAAUAUCCUAGCUAUUUUCCUCCAGAUGCCAUGGACAGAAACUGCAAUUUACAUUAUGCUGACAAUUUCAUUGAGACUAUUCUUCAACGUGAACCGGACGACAUUCAUUUCCCAAUCAAUUAAUCAAGUACUCUACGUCUCUACCCACAACUUCUUCCACUAAUUACGCACUAAUUAUUUCUGGAAACCGUCCGAUCUUAUUUUUUCUUUGUGGAAAAUGAACAUAUGGAAAUUUCCAGGAGUUAAGAAAGAGAUGUCAUAGCCAUCGGGAAGACGAAAAUGUCGAAUUUGUUUGCAUGCUUGUGUCUUGUAUUGUUAUGCCCAAUAGCUUAUUUUGCUACCCUAUAUAAACUCAUCAAAUUCCUCAGAAUUCAAGACACAAUCACACAUCGAAACCAAUAUUUUCACAAAAUGAGCAUCCACAAAAGCUUCUCAGUUUUGUCCAUCCUAUGGAUCACCGCCCUUUGCUUUGCUCCAUCAACCAUCAGUGCAGCACGAUUCGAUAUCCGAAACAACUGCCCCUUCCCUGUCUGGGCCGCCGCAGUGCCAGGCGGCGGCAGACAGCUUAACCAGGGAGAAUCUUGGCCCCUAGACGUGAAUGCGGGCACUACAGGUGGUCGCGUGUGGGCACGAACCGGAUGCAACUUUGAUGCUUCCGGACAUGGCAGCUGUCAGACCGGUGACUGCGGCGGCCUCCUUGAGUGCCAAGCCUACGGUCAACCACCAAACACCCUAGCCGAAUACGGGCUUAACCAGUUCAACAAUUUGGAUUUCAUCGACAUCUCUCUCGUUGACGGGUUCAAUGUGGCUAUGGACUUUAGUCCUACUUCUCCUUGCGACCGUGGGAUUCAGUGCACGGCGGAUAUCAACGGGCAGUGCCCUAAUGAGCUGAAAGCCCCGGGUGGCUGUAACAAUCCCUGUACCGUGUACAAGACUGAUGAGUACUGCUGCAAUUCUGGGAGCUGUGGACCCACGGCUUUGUCUAUGUUUUUCAAGGAGCGGUGCCCGGAUGCUUACAGUUACCCUAAGGACGAUACAACCAGCACUGUGGUUUUUACUUGCCCCGGCGGGACUAACUAUAGGGUUGUGUUCUGCCCAUAGAUCUUCGCUAUAUAUAGGUAGUAAAAUUACAACAAUAACUAAGAACAAGAUGUUUGGGAUCGAAUAAUUUGCAGUUUGAGUUCUUGGGAGCGCACACGUAAUGGUGUGCAUUAUGUAACACAUAGUUUGUUUGUACUAAAUUAAAGGCUGGUUUUGUACUAAUUAAAUUUGUUAUGAAAAAAUAUGGUUGUGUACAAGUGUAUUAACAAAACCAGUUUAAUUCAUUUUGACGGCAUUUAUCUAGCCUCUAAGAUGAGAAGGAAGUUGUGGAGAGGGAACUUAAUGAGGUCCCCUAUGCCAGUUGAUAAGGCUCACUGCUAAGUACCUAGCUCGUUCUUGUGGGGAAAAAAAAAAGAUGAAAAAAAUGGUCCGCCUAUACAUAAACCUGAUGUCAUUUUUUUGAUGGAGAAUGAUGGCAUUUGGUGCCAUCUCGAGCUAUAUAUAACCUCAUGAACCUCUUCAAAAGAAUCAUAACCAAACCAGCAAGAAUCUAUUGCCACAAAAUUUCUUAUAAUCCACCAAAAUCAUGAGCCUUCUCAAAAACCUCCCUACUGUUUUGUCCAUCCUUUACUUUGCUGCAUCAACCGUUAAUGCAGCGACCUUCAAUAUAAAAAACAACUGCCCCUUCACUGUUUGGGCCGGCGCAGUGCCAGGCGGUGGCAAACAACUCGGCACCGGCCAAACAUGGACGAUAAAUGUGGCAGCCGGAACUAAAGGAGCUCGCAUUUGGCCCCGAACAAAUUGCAAC
rnacentral:lncRNA from 1 species